rnacentral:rRNA from 1 species
GACGAACGCUAGCGGCGUGCAUAAUACAUUCAAGUCGAACGCAGUGGGGACGGGUGAGUAACACGUGGGUAAACUCCCAUCAGAUGGGAUAACACUUGGAAACAGGUGCUAAACCGAUACUGAUGGAUGGACCCGCGGUGCAUUAGCUAGUUGGUGAGGUAACGGCUCACCAAGGCCACGAUGCAUAGCCGACCUGAUAGUGUUAUCGGUCACACGGUGACGGAGACACGGCCCAUACUCUUACGGUAGGAAGAAGUAGGGAAGAUGUGUCAAUGGACGAAAGUCUGACCGAUCAACGCCUCUUAAGUGAAGAAGGUUUUCGUAUCGUAAAACUCUGUUGUUAGUGAAGCGGUAUCUAACCAGAAAGCCACGGCUAACUACGUGCCAGCAGCCGCGGUAAUAC